rnacentral:snoRNA from 1 species
AGGUUAUUUCAAAGACGUGUUAUGUGGUUAUAAACCAAAGCUCUUAAUGCUAUGAUCAAAGAUGGAAGUUUUCCUGAAUAUGCUAUAGUCACUAAUGGUGCUGUUUUCUUAAGGAGAUAUAAGA